AUUUGUUUUCUAUUGUGUUAUUGACUGCACGUUUGUUUAUGUGUAACUCUGUGUUGUUUGUUUUUGUCGCACUGCUUUGCUUUAUCUUGGCCAGGUCGCAGUUGUAAAUGAGAACUUGUUUUCAACUGGCCAACCUGGUUAAAUAAAGGUGAAAAAAACUCCCCAUCCCUACCGCUCUCCCAGCUCCCACCCCUCAUGUCAUCUAGGGGGGAAAAUCAAUGUAGAUAAUUGUGCUCCGUUAUUGCUGCCUAAAAGGCUUUAGAUGCAGCUAAUGCUGAGUGCUAAGCUAAUCAGAUUGUUCCGCAGCGUAAUGGGUUUACUGAGGAUAGCUGGGGUUGGUUGGGGGACAACACACUUACAUUAUGCUAUCCCACAAUAGGCUAUCACACAGUAGGCUAUCACACAGUAGGUUAUCACACAAUAGGCUAUCACACAGUAGGCUAUCCCACAGUAGGCUAUCACACAGUAGGUUAUCACACAGUAGGCUAUCACACAGUAGGCUAUCACACAGUAGGCUAUCCCAGUAGGCUAUCCCAC
rnacentral:lncRNA from 1 species